GAUGAACGCUGGCGGCGUGCCUAAUACAUGCAAGUCGAGCGAACAGACGAGGAGCUUGCUCCUCUGACGUUAGCGGCGGACGGGUGAGUAACACGUGGAUAACCUACCUAUAAGACUGGGAUAACUUCGGGAAACCGGAGCUAAUACCGGAUAAUAUAUUGAACCGCAUGGUUCAAUAGUGAAAGACGGUUUUGCUGUCACUUAUAGAUGGAUCUGCGCCGCAUUAGCUAGUUGGUAAGUUAACGGCUUACCAAGGCGACGAUGCGUAGCCGACCUGAGAGGGUGAUCGGCCACACUGGAACUGAGACACGGUCCAGACUCCUACGGGAGGCAGCAGUAGGGAAUCUUCCGCAAUGGGCGAAAGCCUGACGGAGCAACGCCGCGUGAGUGAUGAAGGUCUUCGGAUCGUAAAACUCUGUUAUUAGGGAAGAACAAAUGUGUAAGUAACUAUGCACGUCUUGACGGUACCUAAUCAGAAAGCCACGGCUAACUACGUG
rnacentral:rRNA from 1 species